AUGUGCUUCUCCUCCGGGUCAAGUCGAUCCCUGAGUCUGCGUCUCAAAGUGUCAAACGACAAGAUGCAUAUGCUUCUUGACAAAUUAUCACAUCUAUCCAGUGGAUGCAGGUCUUUAUUCAGAGGAUCUAAGCCUGACACAGCAAACCCCAACUGGUUUCGAGUGGGCUUGGCCUUUGGCACAUCAGUUUUUAUUUGGGGCCUGCUCUUCAGGCAGCACAGCAGAGAUGUGCAUGAGUACAAAGUGAGGAAUGGCCUGGAAUAACCCACCAUAUCGAAUCCUUCAAGGUCAGCCAGGAUGGAUGGGGAUGUUGGAGCAACACCCAUUUUCAGGGGCCCAUCAGGUUCUGGCUAUAGGAUGCGCCAGUUUCUCAGCUUGUUUCUGCCACUGGUCCUGAUUCCUUGCUCUGUGUUCUGUGUCAAAUAAAAAUGUAUUAUGUGA